UACCAAAUUUUAUUUUUUUGAACAUUUAUUAAAUUAUAUUUGGAAACUGACAAAUUAGCCCUUGCAAGCUAGGGUUUCCUUGGUUAAUUUUUGGGGUACUUGCAAUUUUCAUAUGAGAGUCAAUUUUAACCUUUACAUUAUUUACAAUACGAGAAGGAAACAGGAGAGGACUCGCCCAAGAUCUCUCACAUCCCUAAUCUCUACAUUGUUUGUCGAAAUGUGCAAGGUCAGCAAUAACCAUCACCACACAAGCCACAGCCUCAGAAGAAAUUUCCAUUACAUUUUCAGGUUGGGGCUAAUUUGGUAUUCCCAGUUAUGCAAUGAAACAAGAAACCAGGUCGUGAAAGAAAGUUUAAUGCUUUGUGGCUCUAUUUUAUUGGGAUGAGAUUUUUAGGAAGAUUGACAGUUCUUAUGUUCAUCAGUUAUUCUUCUUCCCCAAAUUGAAAUAUGUCCAACUACGGGAGUAGAAGGUGAGAGAAUAAAAAAUAGAAUUGGAUACUGCUGCAUGCUAGCCUUUCACAAUCAAAUUAAACAAUCAAUGGCGGCUUUUGUGUGGAGUAAAUUCUCCAAUGAGAUCCUUUUAUGGCUUCUUGAGGUUAGUUUUCGACCUUCUGGUUAUCUUUUUCGCUUAUUAGGAUUUUGUAAAGCCUUUUCUGGUUAAGAAAAUCUUAAACUACACUUCCGAUUGAUGUAGUGGAGCAAGUUUAACAUGCCAUGAUUUUCUUUUAGAAUCAAUCUCAAAGGUGAAGUAUGACACGAGCUUCACAAAAUCAUGCUUUUAUACAUUCCCUUUAAUCUGAAAAGAGAAUAUCUCAUGCUAAGUAGUUUGAUUCUCUUUCACUUAAUUUAAACUAGGCAUCAGAUUCCAUCUACAGAAGAUUUAUAUCUUGCAGAAAGAGAAAAGAAUGUCUAUGGUUUUUGCACCACUGAAUUGUAAGUUUCUUACUUACCAAAAAAAAAAAGUGACAAAUACAUGGUUAAUACUGAAAAUCUGAAAUUACACUUUCCUUUGAGGUAGUGCGACAAGUUAACCUGCCGUGAUUUUCUUUUAGAGUCAAUCUCAAAGGCAUCAGUUUCCAUCUACAGAAUAUUUAUAUCAUGCAGAAAGAGAAAAGAAUGUCUAUCAUUUGUGCACUGUUGAAGUGACAAAUCAAUGGUUAAUACUGAAAAUCUGAAAUUACACUUCCCGUUGAUGUAGUGGAGCAAGUUUAACCUGCCAUGAUGUUCUUUUAGAAUCAAUCUCAAAGGACAAAUCAAUGGUUAAUACUGAAAAUCUGAAAUUACACUUCCGGUUGAUGUAGUGGAGCAAGUUUAACCUGCCAUGAUGUUCUUUUAGAAUCAAUCUCAGAGGUGAAGUAUGAUACGAGCUUCACAAAAUCAUGCUUUUCUACAUUCCUUUAAAUCUGAAAAAAGAAUAUCUCAUUCUAAGUAAUUUGAUUCUCUUUCAUUUAAUUUAAGCUAGGCAGCGGUUUCCAUUUACAAAAAAUUUAUAUCAUCCAGAAAGAGAAAAUAAUGUCGAUCAUUUGUGCACCACUGAAGUGUAAGUUUCUUUUCCCGAUUUCAAUCCAACAUUGUGUGACUGGUUGAACUUUUUGCAUGCAGGACAGGUCCAUGGUUAAUACUGAAAAUCUGAAAUUGCACUUCCCUCUGAUGUAGUGGAACAAGUUUAACCUGCCUUGGUUUUCUUUUAGAAUCAAUCUCAAAGGCAUCAGUUUCCAUCUACAGAAGAUUCAUAUUAUGCAGAAAGAGAAAGGAAUGUCUAUCAUGUUUGCACCAUUUAAGUUCACUGAUGAAGCACUAGAACUACUUAAGGCCAUAACAAUGGCAGAAAGUUCAUUCAUGUUUGUGAAACAGAAGAAGUUGCAGUUGAUGAAACAAGCUCACGCACAUUUGUGGUAUGACAUUAGAUUGUUUGAUUGUGCACCAUUCACAAUACAGAGUUUAAUCUACAUUGGGAAGCUUUGCUGAUAAACUAAAAACUGAUCAAUUGAGGCCCCUACCUGCAAACAAAGCUCAAUUAGGACUACUGCCACAAGUUUCUUCGGCGAGAAGAACACUCUGAUGCUUAAAUGAUCAAAGCUGUUUUGAAUGGCGGAGAGAAAUGAGAUAUCUCAAUGAUUCAUUAGGCGAUACUCACCUGGUGUGACAUAUUGUGCAUCUUUCAUUAACAAUUGCGGACAACAGUUCUUUUUCUUUGUAUACAAGAAAGUAAAACUUUUUAUGCUUCUGCUAAAAUUAAUUAUGAAGUAGCAAAUACACAUUCUUGUUUGAUGAUAUUGAUUUGCUAUAUUCUUUCAUUGAAUUGUAACAUAUACAGAGUAGCU